UACGUAGGGGGCGAGCGUUGUCCGGAUUUAUUGGGCGUAAAGCGCGCGUAGGCGGCUACCUAAGUCGGAUGUGAAAGCCCCUGGCUUAACUGGGGAAGUGCACCCGAAACUGGGUAGCUAGAGUGCAAAAGAGGGUCGCGGAAUUCCCGGUGUAGAGGUGAAAUUCGUAGAUAUCGGGAGGAACACCGGUGGCGAAGGCGGCGACCUGGGUUGACACUGACGCUGAGGCGCGAAAGCGUGGGGAGCAAACAGG
rnacentral:rRNA from 1 species